rnacentral:rRNA from 1 species
AGUGAACGCUGGCGGCGUGCCUAAUACAUGCAAGUCGAACGGAGUGGCGCACGGGUGAGUAAUGUAUGGCUAAUCUGCUCUAACAUAGAGGCCAACAGUUAGAAAAGACAGCUAAUACUCUAUAGUUUAGGAUGAGGCUAUAUUGUAUCAGCUAGUUGGUGAGGUAAGUGCUCACCAAGGCUAUGACGCAGAACUGGUCUGAGAGGAUGAUCAGUCACACCGGAACUGAGACACGGGCCAGACUCCUACGUGAGGCAGCAGUAGGGAAUAGUGUUCAAUGGGGGAAACCCUGAAGCAGAAACGCCGCGUGGAGGAUGACACUUUUCGGAGCGUAAACUGCUUUUGUUAGGGAAGCGGUACCUAACGAAUAAGCACCGGCUAACUCCGUGCCAGCAGCCGCGGUAAUAC